GACACCUAUGGCACGGGCAAGAUUCCGGAUAAGGAGAUCUUGAAGAUUGUGAAGGAGAAUUUUGAUUUCAGGCCUGGAAUGAUCAUCAUCAACCUCGACCUGAAGAGGGGCGGCAACGGCAGGUUCCUGAAGACAGCGGCUUACGGGCAUUUCGGCAGGGUCGACCCCGACUUCACCUGGGAGGUCGUGAAGCCCCUCAAGGAGGAGAAACCCACGGCCUAAACAAAACCAGUACUUCAUAGAUACCAUCUCUCUUCUGGUCUUC
rnacentral:lncRNA from 1 species